GAUGAACGCUGGCGGCGUGCCUAAUACAUGCAAGUCGAGCGAACAGACGAGGAGCUUGCUCCUCUGACGUUAGCGGCGGACGGGUGAGUAACACGUGGAUAACCUACCUAUAAGACUGGGAUAACUUCGGGAAACCGGAGCUAAUACCGGAUAAUAUAUUGAACCGCAUGGUCCAAUAGUGAAAGACGGGUUUGCUGUCACUUAUAGAUGGAUCCGCGCCGCAUUAGCUAGUUGGUAAGGUAACGGCUUACCAAGGCAACGAUGCGUAGCCGACCUGAGAGGGUGAUCCGCCACACUGGAACUGAGACACGGUCCAGACUCCUACGGGAGGCAGCAGUAGGGAAUCUUCCGCAAUGGGCGAAAGCUUGACGGAGCAACGCCGCGUGAGUGAUGAAGGUCUUCGGAUCGUAAAACUCUGUUAUUAGGGAAGAACAAAUGUGUAAGUAACUCUGCACGUCUUGACGGUACCUAAUCAGAAAGCCACGGCUAACUACGUG
rnacentral:rRNA from 1 species